rnacentral:rRNA from 1 species
UACAGAGGUGCCGAGCGUUAGGCGGAAUCACUGGGCUUAAAGCGUGUGUAGGCGGACGUCUAAGUACCUUGUGAAAUCCCACGGCUCACCCGUGGAACUGCUGGGUAUACUGGGCGUCUUGAGCCACCUAGGGGCCAGCGGAACAAAUGGUGGAGCGGUGAAAUGCGUAGAGAUCGGGAGGAACACCAAAGGCGAAAGCACUCUGCUGGGCCGCAACUGACACUGAGAGACGAAAGCGAGGGGAGCAAAUGGG